GAUGAACGCUGGCGGCGUGCCUAAUACAUGCAAGUCGAGCGAACAGACGAGGAGCUUGCUCCUCUGACGUUAGCGGCGGACGGGUGAGUAACACGUGGAUAACCUACCUAUAAGACUGGGAUAACUUCGGGAAACCGGAGCUAAUACCGGAUAAUAUAUUGAACCGCAUGGUUCAAUAGUGAAAGACGGUUUUGCUGUCACUUAUAGAUGGAUCCGCGCCGCAUUAGCUAGUUGGUAAGGUAACGGCGUACCAAGGCGACGAUGCGUAGCCGACCUGAGAGGGGGAUCGGCCACACUGGAACGGAGACACGGUCCAGACGCCUACGGGAGGCAGCAGUAGGGAAUCGUCCGCAAUGGGCGAAAGCCUGACGGAGCAACGCCGCGUGAGUGAUGAAGGUCUUCGGAGCGUAAAACUCUGUUAUGAGGGAAGAACAAAUGUGUAAGUAACUAUGCACGUCUUGACGGUACCUAAUCAGAAAGCCACGGCUAACUACGUG
rnacentral:rRNA from 1 species